GACGAACGCUGGCGGCGUGCCUUAUACAUGCAAGUCGAACGCAGUGGGGACGGGUGAGUAACACGUGGGUAACCUCCCAUCAGAGGGGAUAACACUUGGAAACAGGUGCUAAACCGAUACUGAUGGAUGGACCCGCGGUGCAUUAGCUAGUUGGUGAGGUAACGGCUCACCAAGGCCACGAUGCUUCGCCGACCUGAGAGUGUAAAUGACCAGCGUGGGACUGAGGCACGGCCCAGAGUCCUACGGGAGGCAGCGGUAGGGAAUCAUCGGCGAUGGACUGAAGUCUGACCGAGCGACGCAGAAUGAGUGAAGAAGGUUUGCGGAUCGUAAAGCUCUGUUGGAAGAGAAGCGGGAUCUAACCAGAAAGCCACGGAUAGCUACGUGCCAGCAGCCGCGGUAAUAC
rnacentral:rRNA from 1 species